AUUGAACGCUGGCGGCAGGCCUAACACAUGCAAGUCGAACGAGUGGCGGACGGGUGAGUAAUGUCUGGGAAACUGCCUGAUUGAGGGUGAUAACUCCUGGAAACGGUAGCUAAUACCGCAUACCAUCAGAUGUGCCCAGAUGGGAUUAGCUUGUUGGUGGGGUAACGGCUCACCUAGGCGACGAUCCCUAGCUGGUCUGAGAGGAUGAACAGGCAAACGGGAACUGAGAAACGGUCCAGACUCCUACGGGAGGGAGCAGGGGGGAAAAUUGGAAAAAGGGCGGAAGCCUGAUACAGCCAUGCCGCGUGUAUGAAGAAGGCCUUCGGGUUGUAAAGGACUUUCAGCGGGGAGGCGUUACCCGCAGAAGAAGCACCGGCUAACUCCGUGCCAGCAGCCGCGGUAAUAC
rnacentral:rRNA from 1 species